rnacentral:misc_RNA from 1 species
AAAACUGCACAUGUGAUAUCUUUGUUUCCUGGGUUGCGAGAGAUGGGUGUCAAAUAUCUGCAGAGAGUCGCUGAUGCAAAUGGUUUCACUGCUGAUCGUGUAAAAGUUUUCCAAAAUAAGAAAUGUUUAACUCUGCAUGAUACUAAUCAGAAGAAGGUUGAUCUGUUGAUUGGAGAGCCAUACUAUUAUGGAAAUGAUGGAAUGCUUCCGUGGCAAAACCUGCGAUUUUGGAAGGAAAGGACUGUGUUGGACUCUGUCCUCUCCAAUGAUGUCUUAAUAAUGCCCUGUAAAGCAUUACUGAAGGCUUGUGCCAUGUCACUUCCAGAUCUAUGGAAUAGCCGCUGCUGCUUAAGUAAGAUUGAAGGCUUUGAUCAUUCUAUUGUAAAUACCACCUUAGGGGCAUGUG